rnacentral:rRNA from 1 species
UACGGAGGGUGCAAGCGUUGUUCGGAAUCACUGGGCGUAAAGGGCGAGUAGGCGGUCCGCUAAGUCUGAUGUGAAAGCCCGGGGCUCACCCCCGGAAGUGCAUUGGAAACUGGCGGACUCGAGUCCCGGAGAGGAAGGUGGAAUUCCUGGUGUAGCGGUGAAAUGCGUAGAUAUCAGGAGGAACAUCGGAGGCGAAGGCGGCCUUCUGGACGGUGACUGACGCUGAGACGCGAAAGCGUGGGGAGCAAACAGG